rnacentral:rRNA from 1 species
UUCCAGACUCCUACGGGAGGCAGCAGUGGGGGAUAUUGCACAAUGGGGGAAACCCUGAUGCAGCGACGCCGCGUGGGCGAAGAAGUAUUUCGGUAUGUAAAGCCCUAUCAGCAGGGAAGAAGAAAUGACGGUACCUGAGUAAGAAGCAUCGGCUAACUCCGUGCCGGCAGCCGCGGUAAUACGGAGGAUGCGAGCGUUAUCCGGAUUUAUUGGGUUUAAAGGGUGCGCAGGCGGAUUUUUAAGUCAGCGGUCAAAUCGUGGGGCUCAACCCCAUCCAGCCGUUGAAACUGGGGAUCUAGAGUGUGCGAGAGGUAUGCGGAAUGCGUGGUGUAGCGGUGAAAUGCAUAGAUAUCACGCAGAACCCCGAUUGCGAAGGCAGCAUACCGGUGCACAACUGACGCUCAGGCACGAAAGCGUGGGUAUCGAACAGGAUUAGAUACCCCCGUAC